GAACGCUAGCUACAGGCUUAACACAUGCAAGUCGAGGGGCAUCAGGAAGAAAGCUUGCUUUCUUUGCUGGCGACCGGCGCACGGGUGAGUAACACGUAUCCAACCUGCCCUUUACUCGGGGAUAGCCUUUCGAAAGAAAGAUUAAUACCCGAUAGCAUAAUGAUUCCGCAUGGUUUCAUUAUUAAAGGAUUCCGGUAAAGGAUGGGGAUGCGUUCCAUUAGGUUGUUGGUGAGGUAACGGCCCACCAAGCCUUCGAUGGAUAGGGGUUCUGAGAGGAAGGUCCCCCACAUUGGAACUGAGACACGGUCCAAACUCCUACGGGAGGCAGCAGUGAGGAAUAUUGGUCAAUGGGCGCUAGCCUGAACCAGCCAAGUAGCGUGAAGGAUGAAGGCUCUAUGGGUCGUAAACUUCUUUUAUAUAAGAAUAAAGUGCAGUAUGUAUACUGUUUUGUAUGUAUUAUAUGAAUAAGGAUCGGCUAACUCCGUGCCAGCAGCCGCGGUAAUACGGAGGAUCCGAGCGUUAUCCGGAUUUAUUGGGUUUAAAGGGAGCGUAGGUGGACUGGUAAGUCAGUUGUGAAAGUUUGCGGCUCAACCGUAAAAUUGCAGUUGAUACUGUCAGUCUUGAGUACAGUAGAGGUGGGCGGAAUUCGUGGUGUAGCGGUGAAAUGCUUAGAUAUCACGAAGAACUCCGAUUGCGAAGGCAGCUCACUGGACUGCAACUGACACUGAUGCUCGAAAGUGUGGGUAUCAAACAGGAUUAGAUACCCUGGUAGUCCACACAGUAAACGAUGAAUACUCGCUGUUUGCGAUAUACAGUAAGCGGCCAAGCGAAAGCAUUAAGUAUUCCACCUGGGGAGUACGCCGGCAACGGUGAAACUCAAAGGAAUUGACGGGGGCCCGCACAAGCGGAGGAACAUGUGGUUUAAUUCGAUGAUACGCGAGGAACCUUACCCGGGCUUAAAUUGCAGUGGAAUGAUGUGGAAACAUGUCAGUGAGCAAUCACCGCUGUGAAGGUGCUGCAUGGUUGUCGUCAGCUCGUGCCGUGAGGUGUCGGCUUAAGUGCCAUAACGAGCGCAACCCUUAUCUUCAGUUACUAACAGGUCAUGCUGAGGACUCUGGAGAGACUGCCGUCGUAAGAUGUGAGGAAGGUGGGGAUGACGUCAAAUCAGCACGGCCCUUACGUCCGGGGCUACACACGUGUUACAAUGGGGGGUACAGAAGGCAGCUAGCGGGUGACCGUAUGCUAAUCCCAAAAGCCUCUCUCAGUUCGGAUCGAAGUCUGCAACCCGACUUCGUGAAGCUGGAUUCGCUAGUAAUCGCGCAUCAGCCACGGCGCGGUGAAUACGUUCCCGGGCCUUGUACACACCGCCCGUCAAGCCAUGGGAGCCGGGGGUACCUGAAGUACGUAACCGCAAGGAUCGUCCUAGGGUAAAACUGGUGACUGGGGC
rnacentral:rRNA from 1 species